GACGAACGCUGGCGGCGCGCCUAACACAUGCAAGUCGAACGAGCGAGAGAGCGCUUGCUUUCUUGAGCGAGUGGCGAACGGGUGAGUAACGCGUGAGGAACCUGCCUCAAAGAGGGGGACAACAGUUGGAAACGACUGCUAAUACCGCAUAAGCCCACGGUGCCGCAUGGCACAGAGGGAAAAGGAGCAAUCCGCUUUGAGAUGGCCUCGCGUCCGAUUAGCUAGUUGGUGAGGUAACGGCCCACCAAGGCGACGAUCGGUAGCCGGACUGAGAGGUUGAACGGCCACAUUGGGACUGAGACACGGCCCAGACUCCUACGGGAGGCAGCAGUGGGGAAUAUUGCACAAUGGGGGAAACCCUGAUGCAGCGACGCCGCGUGGAGGAAGAAGGUCUUCGGAUUGUAAACUCCUGUUGUUGGGGAAGAUAAUGACGGUACCCAACAAGGAAGUGACGGCUAACUACGUG
rnacentral:rRNA from 1 species